rnacentral:rRNA from 1 species
ACGUAGGGAGCAAGCGUUAUCCGGAUUUAUUGGGUGUAAAGGGUGCGUAGGCGGUUUAUUAGGUCUAUGGUUUAAUUCCGAAGCUUAACUUCGGUUCGCCAUAGAAACCGAUUUACUUGAGUAUGGUAGAGGCAAGUGGAAUUUCUAGUGUAGCGGUAAAAUGCGUAGAUAUUAGAAGGAACACCAGUGGCGAAGGCGACUUGCUGGGCCAUCACUGACGCUGAGGCACGAAAGCGUGGGGAGCAAAUAG